ACAGAUACCCUGUUCUUGGCUUAGCCGGCUAGCGGGCAGGCAACCUUUGUAGUGUUGGCAUUCUGCCUCCGGAGGUGGGUCGGCCCUGCAGUGACCAGUUAGAAAGGGGCAUUAGGGCUGGAGAGCAGAAGAUAGAGUUGUCUGGCAGAACCUCUCAGAAGAGCUCAAGGUCAGCGCGGAAGGCUAAGGGCUGCCCAGGCAGAGGACGUCCACAGGCCCCUGUGCUGGGUGAGGGCUGGGGAAACCCCGUAGGAGAUCCAGGGUAAGUGGAGGCAUUGUCUCCAGAGAGCGGGGCAAAAGAGCAGGGCCUCCAGGAGGCAACAUUAUCAUGUAUGUGUGCGCGCGCGCGCACGCAUGGGCGCAUGUGACAUAACGAGACUAGGAGAACAAUAAGUAAAGGGAGAUGGUUGUAACUGUUUGGGGCUGCUUGGUUAAGUAAGCACAAGGAGAGGCUUGUGUAUAGUCACUAGCUGGGAAUGUGGAGACAAAGUAAUCUGGUACAGUAUGUGGGAGCGCUGUGGCCAUUCUGUGUGGGUGCCACGCCCCUCCCCCAGCUGCCCCAGGAGACCUUGUGAUCCCAGCUGGGUGGGUGGGUGCUCUUUCUGUGGCUCCUUCAUUCCCUUCCCGGUCUCUGAAGUGAAUGACAGAGGCCAGGCUCUCAGAACAGGCAUUACUGUCAUUUGCACGCACACACACACACCCCUUAACCCUUUCUCAAUCUAAUCGAAGUUAACGAGAGAGCCUUCGAAGGUUGUGAUGGGAAAAGUCCUAGGACCAAGUCAUACUUUCCUGGUUGGUUUGUUUGGUUUUUGGUUUUAGAGAAUCUCGUGGAGCCUGGGCUGGCCUAGGACCCAACAUGUAGUGGAGAAUGGCUCCCAGUCUCCUGCCACAACCGCACAAGGGCUGGGCUUUACAGUACUACGGUUUCGUCCAGCUUCGUGGCUGUUUACAACGCUGACUUCUCGGGCCUGGAAUCUGAGGCCUUACCUAAUGUCUGUGAGCCCUGCAGGCUUCGGGGGAACCUGCCUUGUAGCUUUUGCCACCCACCUGCUUCCCAGCAUUUCGGACUUAAUGAAUAUUCAUCAGCUAACUUUAGCAUGCAGAGUUCCUGAAGAAGCUUUUGUGCUUCCCGUUCUGCGAGCGAGCGUAUUUGUGAAGAGGAUGUUACCCUAGUGUGCCAGUUCUCAGCGAAAGGAAAAUUUUACGAUCUCCCUUAGGUGCAGGAGGGACUUAAAGCCGUAAUUAGUUCAGUCUUGAAAAGGAGUAAGACUGUGACGUUUGCUUUUUCCUUUGUUCAUAAAUGCCUGCCAUAUUCUUGCCUUCUGUCGCUUUUGUUUACUCUCUCUCUUCUUUCUUCAAGGUCUAAAAUUGCCCAGGCUGGCCUCAAACUUGCUAUAGAGCUUGUUAUAGAGCUUGGGUUGGCUUCAACCCAAGAUUUUUUUACCCCCGCCUCCCAAGUGCUGGGGUUAUAGGCGUGAAUCACCAUGCCCCAUCCACCUGCUCUUUCCAGAAGCCACGCUCCCUGCAAGCUGGGGAUCGGGACAGUUACAGCUGUGACUCUGCUGAGCACACAGACUCGGAAUCCAUCCCUACAGGCACCUGCAGUUUUCCCCUCCACCGUCCCACAGAGGCCCGCAUUUCCUUUUCUCCUCUGGGUCCGGAUUAUAGGUCAGAACGGGCCCAUUCUGAAAGAGGUGUGCCGCCCCUCCUUGGAAACAUCCCUUUCACCCUCGGCUGCCCCAGGCAGUCAAAGGUCCUCGCGUGCCUUCUUUCACACAGCCUCCAGUCAGGCAUGACAAUGCUAACCCCCCCACCCCACCCCACAUCCCACCCCACCCCUGCCCUCCAGCGGCGGCAUAGCUGAGAGGGUAAAGCCAAGUAGCCAGUUCACCUGGAAACACGUCAUCCUGAUCAGAACGGCGGCGGCCAAUCUCGGAGCUUUAGAAUCACCUGGCAGCUAAGUCAGACCGUCUGGGGCAGGGGACCUCGGGUCUCCCGACACGCAGCUGGGGCGGACUGUCUUGCCGCAGGGGCCAGCGGCUGCCGCGAUUAUCAGUCACUCCAACCAGGUCUCCCCAUUUCCCUCCUGCCUUUCCAACACGGGAUCUACUCGCCCUGGGGAAGAUUGGAUGGUACUCACGGACUGGGGCCUCACACCCGCAUCUUCGCCGGCGAGAGCUUGCCUCCCUCCCCAGCUUGGCUGGUGCUCAGGACACAGGUGCUGCUGCUGUUGUGGCUGCGCGCAUCCUAACGGCGGCCGCUCCGCCUUCCAGCUCGACCUCCCGCCAGAGGUUCUCACCCGGAGGCCCCAAGGCACACCUCUUUCAUGCUUGUGCCUCCCCUCGCGGUCGCGGGGUCCGGAGCAGCGAGGGAGGAGUGGAGAACCGGGGGUUUGCGUCGGCUGGGGCUGACCGUCCUCACCGCUGCAGCUCAGCUAGGGCUGCAGAAAGUCAGUGCAGUGGCGGAGCUGGCUAGGGCUCCUCGCGGUUGCCACGGUAACCAGGAGCAGGCGCCUGCCCCGGUGGCUGAGCAAAGCUGUAGAGAAAAGGUAAAGGAGAAGCGAUGACGCGUUGGCCUGUCUCCUGGGUAUCGGCUGAGCCUCAAGCGACCCAAACCAAACCACGCCACCCCUGCUGUCUUUUCUCUCUCUCUCCUCCGCUCCCUCCCCAGUCAACACACACAGGAACAUCUUAAGGACUAAAAAUUCCAGCACUAUCUGAGGCUCCCUGCCCUAGAGGAUCCUGCUGUACACAGGGCGGAAUGUUUGCUAGGAUCGCUCUUGAAAACAGAACUCCCAGCGGGCGACAGCUCUGCGGAUGAGCUCAGAGAAGCCGGAGAAGGGACCAAGCAAAGGAUGGUGAUGAGCAAGCCACUUCAUCUCUUUAUGGCCAUAAAACUAAGUGAUAAAAUACCUCGAAAUUCUAAACCCUGAAAGAUUUAACACCUUAACCAUAUGGUUAUCCUGUAAAAUAAUUCGGUUUUCUUUCUUUCUUCUUAAAAGGCAAGUGUCUCAUCAAAUACAUAAGGCUGGCCUUGAACUUGCUGUGUGUUUAUAGUUAAGGGUGAUUUUGAACUCCUGACCCUCAAACAAACAAAGGCAACAACAAAAUACUAGGGAGAAAAAAAUUUUAAGUGAGGAACUGGGGAGGCAACUCAGUAUGUGGGGUGGGGUUCUUACCCAGUAUUCGUAAGGUCCUGGGGUUCUAUAAUCCAACAAUGGAAAACAAAACACUAAAAUAAAAAUAAAUAAAAUGAAAGUGUACUUCAAGAGUCGAUCAUCCCAGGUGUAGCGUUACACACCUUUAAUCCCAGCACUUGGGAGACAGAAACAGGUUUUUAUGAGUUCAAGGCAGGCUUAGUCUCUGCCUAGUGAGUUCCAGGACAGCUGGAGCUGAAUAGUCUCCAAACCAAACAGUAGCGCAAAGGACUAAAGCAAGGCUUAGUGAUUAAGAGCACUGAUUGCUCGUCCUGAGGAGCUAGGUUUUAUCCCUAGCACCUACAUGGUUGCUAAUAACCAUCUGCAACCCCAGUUCCGGGGGAUCCGAUGACCUCUUCUACUUCCACAGACAAUGGCAUGCACACAGUACACAGACAUACGUGCAGGCAAAACACCAAAAACAUAAAAAGUCUAGAGAGAGAGAAUAGUUCAAGGGGGCUGGUAAGGGCUCAGCAAGGAAAGGUGAUUGCUGCUAAGACUUGACAGCCUGAGUUUGAUUUCCAGGACCCACAUGGUAGGAAAGAACACAGUCCCAAAUCCUCUGACCUCCCAAUACGUCUCAUAAAAUAAAAAUAAUUAAUAAAAAACAAUUAAACAUAGACUAAGGGCAAUUUCAUAAAAGUCGUUCACAAAAGCUGGCCGCCUUCCAUUAUCAACUAUAAAGCCCUGCAGGGCACGGUGACACACGCCUUUGAUCUCAGCUCUUGGGAGGCAGAGGCAGGUGCAUCUCAUCUCUGUGAGUUUUAGACCAGCCUAUUCUACAAAGCGAGUCCAGGACAGCCAAGGCUACACAGAAGAAACCCCGACUCAAAAAAAGAAACCAAACCCACCAACCAAUCAAAAAACUAUAAAGUCCUGCAAUGUGGCCAUUCGUACAUCUCCUGGGAUAAUCCAUUCCCAUCCAUUUUCCACAUGGCAUGGCUCUUUUGAAAAUUAUGAUUUUAUGCACACUGACAGAAGCAUUUCCUAUUACAUGUUCCUUUCUCCUGGGCCUGCUUCUGUGUUGUUUUGGGCAUAUGGCAUCCAUUCCGCAUGCUCUCAUACACAGACCAUGGAUUUGGCAGAAACAAAGCUGACGACUGAGCAGCAGCAGUAUUACCUAAGUGGCUUCUUGUCCUACUGUGCACGUAAUUAUUUUCCAACCAGUUGGAAACUUGGCUGGCUUCUUCAGGCUAAUGCAGCUUUUAAUUCAUUAAAAGCUUCUGGAAUUUCAUCAGCUGGAUGAAAUGCCAAUGUAGAAAUAUGAGUUUGUUUUUGUUUUGUUUUGUUUUGUUUUUGAGACAGGGUCUUUCUACAUAGCCUUGGCCAUCCUGAAAAUCAUAUGUAGACCAGGCUGGUCUCAGACUCACAGAGAUCCACCUGCUUCUGCCUCCCAAAUGCUGGGGUUAAAGGUGUGAGCCACCAUGCCUGACAUUUUUUUUUUCUGUUCUUUUAAAGACUGAGUCUGUGUACCCAGGCUGAUCCCAAAAUGAGUUUUCUUGCCUCUGCCUGGUGAGUGCUGGGCAAAAUGAAGCUUAUUUACAUGGAGUUUUCAUAUCUCUUUCCUCAGUCACCUGACUUCACCAAAUGCAUUGGGCUGAAUGUGACAGAAAUAAACUUUAUUGAUAAUACCUUGAAAUUCAUUUACCAAAUGCUUGCUCACACCUAAUUCGAAAUAUAUCAUUAUGAUUUGGAGAUCCA